GAGAGUGACUCUCGUUUGGACUCUCCCUUGACCCGUUCGCUACGAGACUUGAAGACUAAGGAGUUAUGUGGUUUGGAAUUGGUGGCCCGAGUGUGAAGGUCGUCUGCUCUCGGAGCUUGGAAGGUAGCGGUAAGGGCUAUGCUAUGCUCUCGUUUGUAGACGUGCGCUGCCGCUGCCGCUGCCGAAACAGGAGAGCAUGGGAGGGCUACGCCGACGGCGCCGCUCCGCGGGCGGGCCCAGAGCGGGAAGAGCGCGAGCGGGAGCGCGAGCGGGAGCGCCGGGCGCCGCGCCUGCGCAGGUAGGUGCUCAUGAGGCCGCCGCCGAAACGCGGCGCGCGGUUGAGUAAGAAGAAGGUGCCGCCGUCGCUCCCGGAGAUGCGAAGGCUUAGGAGGAGUUUGAGGAGGUUGAGGAAGUAGUCCAAACUGUAACAAUGUAAAGCUGCCAGGGUCCUCAGUCGUCGAUCUGUACUUCUUUACGUCGUUUUCUGUCCUAAUCAUCUCCGAUAAUAACAACUCUAGGUCCUGUCUCUGUUUUAGCCCCCAAGAAUGAACGUGAGACUACGUUAUACGACGUGCGGACUCGAACUGUUCCUCUUCAGGACAUUUCAUCCACUUCAAUAAUAUGCCGGUUUAGGACUAUUAGGUCUGACCGGUUUUUCUUAAGUCUGUAAGAAACUACCAUUUUUGCUUCUUUGAUGGUACCCUUGUGUCUCGCAGAGAUAUUUGUUUUGUCCCUACAUGAUAGAGAUGAAAUACAAGACACUAGGAGUUGAGGCCCCUAACUUCUAAUGUCCGUCCUGUCAAACCGCCUUAGGAGUACCAAUAUAGGGACCUUUUUACCGGGGCUACUACUGUAAAAAACCAAAGUACAGUGAACGCAUAGAACGUGAACCCGAAGAUACCAAAGAAGUCAAACACUCUACAACCUUCCUAUAAAACGUCGACGUAAUGGUAUAUUGUCGACAAUAACGUGAACCAUACACGCUUUACCGAAAGACCAUGAAACUCAUACGAUUGAAGUUAAGUUGACCCUGGUCUGGAUACCCGUAUUGGAACACCCGCCAAUGUAAAUGACGACACUUCUUCUGGCACAGAGCGCAAGAAGAAAAUCAUCAAAGUUACCCGAUACCACAACAAGCUGGGUGUAACCCACCCUAAUGUAUGUCUCAACGACGAGAACGAUAGUAGAUAAAAUGACGGAGUCUUCGGGAACUUGAACAACUUUUAGACCCUUUGUAGUUACUGAAGAGACCGUUUUGCUCUAAUAAAGAUCACAAUGGACAACGGUAUGAACUACGAUGGAAGUAGUAGACCUAUAAAAGUAGGGAGAGAUCUUGAGAUCUCUUUGACGUCGACGCCUCUUCGUACCGCUUUGAACUUAACAUAGCCUUCAAAUGUUUAAGAGAUCGAUACAGUCACCAAUAGAGUUAACGAACCUAACCGAUACUCGAUAUAAAGUUACGUUGGCUAGGUAACUCACUCGAAACCGCUUCCCGAACCCAGUAGGGACGGAAGACCUUACAGGAGAGUAUACAGGAAGAACGGUAGUAUACGCGGGAAACCAGUGGUAGAGCAUUAGGUUGUCCUAAACGUAUAAGUCUCCUCUGUCCACUACUCCGACUGCUCCUUCCUGAGAGAGAACAUCCGUCACGACAAUUUCCUUGUCCUCUAUAACACUUGUACGUACACAAAUGACUCCUAUUUGCACGUACUCUUCAAUAACUGAAUCACGUCGACAUGAGGAACACCUUAUGAUACCUUACAUUAGAACACAAUAGGUUCGUACGUCUAUCGUGAAAACUGAAACUCGCGGCCUCCGUUGACGGAGAGUUUAUACCAACCUAUUGUUCAAUCAUGUAUCGUAUCACUUAAACCUAAUCAACUGAGAUCCAGUCCUAAUCCCGAGUAUUAUAAGUACCAGGAUUCGACAUCGAAAACUGAACUUUGAAAGACGAUGCAAAGGGAAGGUGAGAUUCGCUCGAGUGUGGGUAGAAGUGAAGAAAAAAACAAAAACAGAAAAACGCUUAGUAGAAGUGUACGAAAUAGAUGUAAGAAGAAGAUGGGAGGGAGAUAGACAAACAAAUAUGAAUUCUCUUAUACGAUAAGGCAUCGCUCGAUCGUAAACGAACAGUAAAAAGAGUCUAGGUGUAAUAUACAUAUCACCCUCCGUAAGGAGAAACUGUACGAAGUCAGUCGAAUCGGGACCCAACGAUAUCUCGUCGAUAUCUUACCUUGAAGUACAAAUAAAUGAGGUCGUUUCUCGAUGUCUGGACAAAGUGUUAACAGACGAGGGGGAAGACGCUCUUUUCAAAAGACACAAAAACAGAAACGUACCUUCAAAAAUCUAUUUUAAUACAACAUCAAGUCAAGGACACCAAACUCAGUAUCAGCUCCGUCAAAAACGUUUUGUAAAUCGUAUUUGUGCUGCUGGUAACACUUCAAAAACUUAUUACACUCUGAGUAAAUAAAUUGAGCAAUAGUUACUUCAUCAUCGUGUCCCGGGGUUUAAAAUGGCCGGGCCGGGACUCAUCGUACGAUUGGUUAAGGUAACACGGGUUAACGUCACUUCAUGGCAUGGCAAAGGGAGACCUAAGUACCUAUCGACUGUAGACGACUUCGAACGCACGCUAAGGUUACACAUCCACCACUGAAACACAACUUCCUAAACUGAAGGUGUACUAAAAUGGGCAGGUUACUACUGAUGGGCUAUGUUUCUUCAACCGCUUUAUAUGAUCUCAAACUCUCGUACCUCACACCGAAUGACGUCAACAACACCAACCGCACAUCUGAACAUGUCAUCUAACCAUCUUCGGAUGGGACAGUUUGCGAACUGACGUAGCGAGGGCAAGACGUACCUAGCUUUACCACAACGCCGUCAAGGAACACAUAAAUAGUAUACAUGCGAAUAUCUUACUUGAUCGUUGAUAUAUUAGUAUAUACAACUACUAAAACGGAAGAACAAAAACCGGAACUUCUAUAAAUAAUUCG
rnacentral:rRNA from 1 species